UGGGCGUAAGCGUGCGCAGGCGGUUGUUUAAGACUGAUGUGAAAUCCCCGGGCUUAACCUGGAAACUGCCUUUGUGACUGCGGGACUUGAGUGUGUCAGAGGGAGGUGGAAUUCCACGUGUAGCGGUGAAAUGCGUAAAUUUGAGUAGGAAUACCAUUGGACGCUGGCGGCUCGUCUUAUAACUGUGACUCUAAUGCACGAACGCGCUUCGACCUGGCGGCAAGUGAUACCCUGGUGAGUAACAUAUCGGAACGUGCCUUGAAUUGUCGGAUAACCAUUUCCUUGGUGGCUAAUACCGCAUACGACCUGACCGCCUGGUGAGGGAUCGCGCGACAUUAUGCUCCUAGGAAUUGACAUAUCAGAUUAACUAGUUGUGGAUGAUGUGGAUUAAUUCGGUGACGAUCAAAAAACCUUACUGACCCUUGACAUGGAUGGAACCUCACUGAGAUUGGAGGGUGCUCCUACGGGAGCCAUCACAUGGGUAAUUUUGGACAAUGGGGGCAACCCUGUAUCCAAGAUGUGCCGGUUGUGUCCCGCAACGCCUUCAACUUGUUGUCAUUUUUUGCUUCGGGAAGAAAUCUCUUCUGGCUACUGCCUGUGACAAGAUGACAGGAACCGUGAAGGAAUGA
rnacentral:rRNA from 1 species